rnacentral:snRNA from 1 species
AUCGCUUCUCGGCCUUUUGGCUAAGAUCAAGUGUAGUAUCUGUUCUUAUCAGUUUAAAAAAUGUAGGCCAGGGUCUUUAAUUAUAAUGGGGGAUCUGUGCUAUAUUUAUCACAU